rnacentral:rRNA from 1 species
AGCGAACGCUGGCGGUAGGCCUAACACAUGCAAGUCGAACGGCAGCACAGUAAGAGCUUGCUCUUACGGGGGGCGAAUGGCGGACGGGUGAGGAAUGCAUCGUAAUCUACUCUUUCGUGGGGGAUAACGUAGGGGAACUUACGCUAAUACCGCAUACGCCCUACGGGUGAAAGCAGUGGAUCUUCGGACCUGGCGCGAAUGAAUGAGCCGAUGUCGGAUUAGCUGGUUGGCGGGGUAAUGGCCCACCAAGGCGCCGAUCGGUAGCUGGUCUGAGUGGCUGGUCGGCCGCACUGGAACUUAGACACGGUCCAUACGCCUACGGGAGGCAGCAGUGGGGAAUAUGGGACAAAGGGGGCAAGCCUGAUCCAGUCGUACCGCGUGGGUGAAGACGGCGUUGGGUUUGUAAAGACCUUUUGUUGGGAGAGAAAAGCAGUCGCUUAAGACCCCGCUGUUCUGACGGUACCCGAAGAAUAAGCACCGGCUAACUUCGUG